rnacentral:rRNA from 1 species
UACCCAGCAAUGGGAUGCGAAUCUCGAAAGCCUGUCUCAGUUCGGAUUGGAGGCUGAAACCCGCCUCCAUGAAGUUGGAUUCGCUAGUAAUCGCGCAUCAGCCAUGGCGCGGUGAAUACGUUCCCGGGCCUUGUACACACCGCCCGUCAAGCCAUGGGAGCCGGGGGUGCCUGAAGUUCGUGACCGCAAGGAGCGACCUAGGGCAAAACUGGUGACUGGGGCUAAGUCGUAACAAGGUAAC